rnacentral:rRNA from 1 species
GACGAACGCUGGCGGCGUGCCUAAUACAUGCAAGUAGAACGCACAGUUUAUACCGUAGCUUGCUACACCAUAGACUGUGAGUUGCGAACGGGUGAGUAACGCGUAGGUAACCUGCCUGGUAGCGGGGGAUAACUAUUGGAAACGCUAGCUAAUACCGCAUAAUAUUAAUUAUUGCAUGAUAAUUGAUUGAAAGAUGCAACUGCAUCACUACCAGAUGGACCUGCGUUGUAUUAGCUAGUAGGUGAGGUAACGGCUCACCUAGGCGACGAUACAGAGCCGACCUGGGAGGGUGAUCGGCCACACUGGGACGGAGACACGGCCCAGACGCCUACGGGAGGCAGCAGUAGGGAAUCUUCGGCAAGGGACGAAAGUCUGACCGAGCAACGCCGCGGGAGGGAAGAAGGUUUUCGGAUCGGAAAGCUCUGUUGUAAGAGAAGAACGGGUGUGAGAGUGGAAAGUUCACAGUGUGACGGUAUCUUACCAGAAAGGGACGGCUAACUACGUG